UACGUAGGGUGCAAGCGUUGUCCGGAAUUAUUGGGCGUAAAGAGCUCGUAGGCGGUUUGUCGCGUCUGCUGUGAAAACUCGGGGCUUAACUCCGGGCCUGCAGUGGGUACGGGCAGACUAGAGUGCGGUAGGGGAGAUCGGAAUUCCUGGUGUAGCGGUGAAAUGCGCAGAUAUCAGGAGGAACACCGGUGGCGAAGGCGGAUCUCUGGGCCGUAACUGACGCUGAGGAGCGAAAGCAUGGGGAGCGAACAGG
rnacentral:rRNA from 1 species